rnacentral:rRNA from 1 species
UACGUAGGGCGCAAGCGUUAUCCGGAAUUAUUGGGCGUAAAGAGCUCGUAGGCGGUCUGUCACGUCGGCUGUGAAAACCUGGGGCUCAACUCCGGGCCUGCAGCCGAUACGGGCAGACUAGAGUUCGGCAGGGGAGACUGGAAUUCCUGGUGUAGCGGUGAAAUGCGCAGAUAUCAGGAGGAACACCGGUGGCGAAGGCGGCAUCCUGGACCGAUACUGACGCUGAGGAGCGAAAGCCAGGGGAGCAAACGGG